GCGAGGUCGGCGUGAUAGGCAUGCAGUCGACGUGAACCUUGCUUCGGUGAGGUGAAAGUGGCGAAAGGGUGAGUAAUGCAUAGCUAACCUACCCCCGACACCGGGAUAACCAGGAGAAAUCUUGGCUAAGACCGGAUAUGCUCGCUUGGGCGCAUGUUCGAGCGAGUAAAGGAGGCCUCUUAACAAUGCUUCUGGUUGGGGACGGAACUAUGUCCUAUCAGCUAGUUGGUAGGGUAAUGGCCUACCAAGGCGAUGACGGGUAGCCGACCUGAGAGGGUGACCGGCCACACUGGGACUGAGACACUGCCCAGACUCCUACGGGAGGCUGCAGUCGAGAAUCUUCCGCAAUGGGGGCAACCCUGACGGAGCAACGCCGCGUGCGGGAUGAAGGCCUUCGGGUUGUAAACCGCUGUCACACGUUAUGAAAGAAACGGGGUUAAAAGCUCUGGGUCUUGACAAAGGCGUGGGAGGAAGCCACGGCUAACUUCGUGCCAGCAGCCGCGGUAAGACGAAGGUGGCGACCGUUGUUCGGAAUCACUGGGCAUAAAGAGCUCGUAGGCGGUGAGAAAAGUCGGGUGUGAAAUCCCUCGGCCCAACCGAGGAACUGCGCUCGAAACUGUCUUGCUUGAGGACGGAAGGGGAGCAUGGAAUUCCUGGUGGAGCGGUGAAAUGCGUUGAUAUCAGGAGGAACACCGGCGGCGAAGGCGAUGCUCUGGUCCGUUUCUGACGCUGAGGAGCGAAAGCUAGGGGAGCAAACGGGAUUAGAUACCCCGGUAGUCCUAGCCGUAAACGAUGGGCACUAGGUAGGGGGGUACCCAAUGCCUCCCUGCUGGAGUUAACAUAUUAAGUGCCCCGCCUGGGGAGUAUAGUCGCAAGGCUGAAACUCAAAAGGAAUUGACGG
rnacentral:rRNA from 1 species